ACAGAGGUCCCAAGCGUUGUUCGGAUUCACUGGGCGUAAAGGGUGCGCAGGUGGGUUUGCAAGUUUGAUGUGAAAGCCCCGGGCUUAACCCGGGAAUGGCAUUGAAUACUGCAGAUCUGGAGGAUCGGAGGGGGGACUGGAAUUCUUGGUGUAGCAGUGAAAUGCGUAGAUAUCGGGAGGAACAUCAGUGGCGAAGGCGGCUACCUGGCCCAAUACUGACACUCAGGUGCGACAGCGUGGGGAGCAAACAGGA
rnacentral:rRNA from 1 species